rnacentral:rRNA from 1 species
UACGUAGGUGGCAAGCGUUGUCCGGAUUUACUGGGCGUAAAGGGCGCGUAGGCGGCCUUCUAAGUCGAACGUGAAAUCCCCGGGCUCAACCCGGGAACUGCGUCCGAUACUGGAAGGCUUGAAUCCGGGAGAGGGAUGCGGAAUUCCAGGUGUAGCGGUGAAAUGCGUAGAUAUCUGGAGGAACACCGGUGGCGAAGGCGGCAUCCUGGACCGGCAUUGACGCUGAGGUGCGAAAGCGUGGGGAGCAAACAGG